rnacentral:rRNA from 1 species
UCAACUUGAGAGUUUGAUCCUGGCUCAGAACGAACGCUGGCGGUAUGCUUUACACAUGCAAGUCGAACGAGUAUGGACCUAGCUUGCUAGGGACCCAGCUAGUGGCAAACGGGUGAGUAACGCGUGGGAACCUACCUUAUAGUAUGGAAUAGUCUUGGGAAACUGGGUUUAAUACCAUAUACGCUCUACGGAGGAAAGAUUUAUCGCUAUAAAAUGGGCCCGCGUUAGAUUAGUUUGUUGGUGAGGUAAUGGCUCACCAAGACUACGAUCUAUAGCUGGUUUGAGAGGAUGAUCAGCCACACUGGGACUGAGACACGGCCCAGACUCCUACGGGAGGCAGCAGUGGGGAAUAUUGGACAA